rnacentral:rRNA from 1 species
AGACCCGAAACCCGGUGAUCUAGCCAUGGGCAGGUUGAAGGUUGGGUAACACUAACUGGAGGACCGAACCGACUAAUGUUGAAAAAUUAGCGGAUGACCUGUGGCUGGGGGUGAAAGGCCAAUCAAACCGGGAGAUAGCUGGUUCUCCCCGAAAGCUAUUUAGGUAGCGCCUCGUGAAUUCAUCUCCGGGGGUAGAGCACUGUUUCGGCUAGGGGGCCAUCCCGGCUUACCAACCCGAUGCAAACUGCGAAUACCGGAGAAUGUUAUCACGGGAGACACACGGCGGGUGCUAACGUCCGUCGUGAAGAGGGAAACAACCCAGACCGCCAGCUAAGGUCCCAAAGUCAUGGUUAAGUGGGAAACGAUGUGGGAAGGCCCAGACAGCCAGGAUGUUG